rnacentral:rRNA from 1 species
GGACCCGACUGCUAUCGGAUUGGGACUAAGCCAUGCGAGUCAACUCCGCAAGGGGUGGCGCACGGCUCAGUAACACGUAGUCAACCUACCCUAGGGACGGGGAUAACCUCGGGAAACUGAGGCUAAACCCUGAUAGGCUAUAACUUCUGGAAUGGGUUAUAGCUGAAAUCUAUAUGGCCCUAGGAUGGGACUGCGGCCGAUCAGGUUGUUGGUGGGGUAAUGGCCCACCAAGCCUAUAACCGGUGCGGGCUCUGAGAGGAGGAGCCCGGAGAUGGGCACUGAGACAAGGGCCCAGGUCCUAUGGGGCGCAGCAGGCGCGAAACCUCCGCAAUGGGCGAAAGCCCGACGGGGUUAGUCCGAGUGACUCCUGCUAAAGGAGUCUUUUGCCAGCUGUAAAAAGGCUGGAGAAUAAGGGGUGGGCAAGUUUGGUGUCAGCCGCCGCGGUAAUACCAGCACCCCGAGUAGUCGGGACGAUUAUUGGGCCUAAAGCAUCCGUAGCCGGUCUAACAAGUCCUCCGUUAAAUCCAACGGCUCAACCGUUGGGCUGCGAGGGAUACUGUUAGACUAGGGGGCGGGAGAGGCGAGGGGUAUUCCCAGGGUAGGGGUAAAAUCCACUGAUCCUGGGAGGACCACCAGUGGCGAAGCGCCUCGCUAGAACGCGCCCGACGGUGAGGGAUGAAAGCUAGGGGA